GUCAAUGUUUGUGUGUGUGAUUUUUGUUUUAAUUGUUUUUGUUUUUAUUCUCAAAUGAAAGUACCCUGCCAGUAAUCAUUGGUGUUUUGGGAAGACAGCCGGAAGCAGUGCCGUCUCCGUACCUUGGAGUGAAUGGGCUUUAUGUCCAGGCAGCCAUCUGUGGAAGUGGGAGCCUGGAGCCAGAUCUUGAAGCUACCUGUGCAUGCUAGAGUCAUUUGUGGCUUGCCCCGGAGUUCCUUCUUCACCUCUCAUCCAGAUUUGGCUUUGUCUGCCCUUCUACUUUUGGAACAGCCACUUCCUCUAACCAGGCCCAUGUUGCUUCCACCGGGGAUGCUAGACCUGCAAUUGUUUGAAGGUAAGAAUCAUUAUAAUUUUGUAGUUUUGUUAUCUGCAUUUCUAAGAUCUAGAAAAUGUCCAGAUUUGCUGCAUGCCAAAAUUUAAGGUCUCUCCACCUUAAAAUGUACUUUCUUCCAACUGCAAACUGACGUUAUCCAGGGAAUGGCUUCAUUCAACUUGUGUGGCCCUGGAUACUCUCUGUUUCUAUGAGCACCCUGAAAGUUUUGGUUUUGGGUGGGAGAAUAGCUUUCUAGAUGAAUGCAACUUAAAAGUCUUCUCUUUGAUGGGAAGAAGUUAUAGUUCACAUUUCUUCUCUGGCUGUGACCAUUUAUGGCCACUUUUGUGAAGACUGUUUAGUCAGUCAGUGUAAGAUAGGUUAUGCUGCAGUAAUUAAUAUCUCUCAAUCUUCAAAGACUUAAGACAACAAAGAUAUUUCUUAUUCAUGCUAUAUGUCCAAUGAACAGGAGCAGAGAUACUCCAUUUAUGGUAGUCAUUGAAGUCUCAAGACUUAUGAAAGCCCUGUCUUCACAUAUCUUUUCUUGGUAUAUUCAUAGAACUCUCACAAUUCACUGGCUAAAGCAAGUCACAUGAUUGCACUCAAAUUCAAAGAGGGUGGGUGUUGAAGUCCUACCACAUUCUCUGAAGAGGGCUAGAAGAUUUGUGAACAGUCUUAAAGACCAACACAGUUUUAUAUACAGAUUUUCUGAUUCUCAUUUCAGUUACUCAUAGAUUUUUAAUAUUUUAGAUUAUUUUCGAGAUAUGAAAGGUUGCUAGAUAAUUGGUUUUUUGAUAAUUGUGCUUUGCUCAAGAAUGUCCUGGAGAGAUAUCAUCUUUGUUAAAAGAUGUCCUUUAAACAUAUAUCAAUUGGAUACUAUAACUAUUUAGGCUCUAACUUCAGUUGACAGUGUGUCACCAACUGUGAAUGAACUUUCCCCUUCAACUUUCUCCACAUGGAAAAAGAGAUCAGUGGUGGCUCCCUUUCUUUCCCGAGCCUGCCUAAGAACUUG
rnacentral:lncRNA from 1 species